GUCUGCAGCCACGGGGCCCCCAAAACAGUCUGAGAGUCAGAGUUAUGGGGUAUCUGAAGCUUGAUCCCCAGCCACACAGGUCGGGUUAAAUGGCUCUGGCUCAGUGGCAACGCCUGUGCAGUAACCGUUACUGCUUGAUGACCCCCAAACCAGGUCCUGCAAAGCUACCCCCUACUCUCUCAACAGUCUUAGGCCCACCUGCACCCAGGUGAAAUAAACAGCCUUGUUGCUCACACAAAGCGUGUUGCUGGACUCUCUUCACAUGGACGUGCGUGACAUUUGGUGCCGAAACCUGGGACAGGAGGACUCCUUCGGGAGACCAGUCCCCUGUCCUCACCCUCUGUGAGGAGAUCCACCUAUGACCUCAGGUCCUCAGACCAACUAACCCAAGGAACAUCUCACCAAAUUCAAAUCGGGACCCCACUGGAAAUCAGACUGUCCAACUUGCCUGGCAGCCACUCCUAGAGUCCCUGGAACUCUGGCCCAAGGCUGUCUGACUGACUUCUUUCCAGAUCUUCUCGGCUUAGCGGCUGAAGACUGACGCUGUCCGAUCGCCUCAAAAACCUCCUGGACCAUCCCGGAUGCUUUGGGUAACUCUUACAGUGGAGGAAGACAGGAAUGUCAGGCCUCUGAGCCCAACUAAGCCAUCAUAUCCCCUGUGACCUGCACGUAUACAUCCAUAUGGCCUGAAGCAACUGAAGAUCCACAAAAGAAGUGAAAAUAGCCAAUUCCUGCCUUAACUGAUGACAUUCCACCAUUCCUGCCCCACCCUAACUGAUCAAUUGACUUUGUGACAAUACACCCUCCCCGCCCUUGUGAUAAUGUACUUUGUGAUAUUCCCCCACCCUUGUGAAUGUACUUUGUACAAUACACCCUCCCCACCCUUGAGAAGGUACUUUGUAAUAUGCUCCCCCACCCUUAAGAAGGUACUUUGUAAUGUUCUCCCCACCCUUUGUACUUUGUAAGAUCCACCCCCUGCCUGCAAAAAAUUGCUCCUAACUCCACUGCCUAUCCCAAACCUAUAAGAACUAAUGAUAAUCCCACCACCCUUUGCUGACUGCCUUUUGGACUCAGCUUGCCUACACCCAGGUGAAAUAAACAGCCUUGUUGCUCACACAAA